CAGCGAUUUACAAUUGAGUUGCAGCUCAAACAAAGGCUAUGGCUGGUUGGCAUGCUCAAGGUGUUGAGUUGUUGAACAUUCUGCCAGGGGAUUGAACGCCUCUAUGCAGAAUGGAUCAUAUAGCUCUUGUUCUGCUGGCAGUCUCUAAUUGAAGCUUUCAACUUUGUUUGUGCGCAACCCCUGCUUUCCUGUUGUUCCGCAGUUGAAGCUGCUUGUUGUUGUUGUUGCUUGUCAUAUUUAGUGUUUGU